rnacentral:lncRNA from 10 species
AAAAUGAAGCCAAGAAAAUUAUGAAGAAAUAGAAUUUAGAUAUCCAAGCUAUGCGUCUUGCAUUUUCUUUAAAUGUUUUGUUCACAACCUUGUCAUUAUUAGAGCUUUCAUUUUCACUUUGUGACUAAUCCUGACUUCUCUUUAAUUUAUUUAUUAUUUAUUUAGCUUUCUCACUACUUCUGUUUCACCAUCUGUUUAAACUAGAAUAUGUUUAGAUUUAAUAUUCAUCAGUGAUACAUUUUCCUACAGAUAAAAUAAAUUACUACAAGCUCCUAAAAUGUCAUGUGCUUUACAGGUCAAUAAAAUGUAACCCAGAAUUUUGAGAGAAACAGACUUUACUACAGUCUAAAGUUUUAUGCAAAAACUGAUCAUCCCCAUUCUUUCCUUGAAUAAAGAAAAGAAGCUGUCAAUUACCAUGUAUUAAUAAGUGAGGCUCACACCUUAUAGUAACAACAAAAUUAGAAGAGAAAUAAUACGUAUGUCUAGUGUAAUGUGAUAUGCAGAAGAAAAAUUUAAAUUCUUUAAUUGUAAAGGAAAAAAGCCAAUAUGAUAAUGUUAUUUCCAAGGUGCACUUUCUGUCUGCUGAGCGAUGAAAUUAACAAGUAAAGCCAUUGGAAUAGUCAAUAAAAUCAUUUGGCUUUGGAAAGAACAGAGGUAUUUUGUUCAAUAGUUUUGUUUUCUUUAGGCUGAGACAGCAAUUAUGCCAUCAUCAUCACUUUCCAUCUUUUAGAAGGAUAUUGGUUAAAUUUUGAGUUAAUGAUUUUUUUCUCCCCAAGAUUCCUUUCUAGCCCCUAACAUUACUAUAGUCUUAAACUAUCUUCUGUUUGUCAUACAAAAUGGCUUCUCAUAGAACAACACCAAUGUCAGGGUAGGAGCUGAGGAAGAAAAAGUAAAUAAAAAUACACAAAAUCCAAACUUUGUUAUAUGUUCCAUUCAGUGGCCUUAUACAUGACUUACAAAUUUUGUUUGAAGUUUAAUUAUAACUAACCACUAUUUAAUUCGAAUUCACUGCUGGCUGUAUUUCCUGAUUCAGAGUUCCAUAUUGCUUCUAUUGCUGGUUUUAAUUUAUUUGAACCUCAGUCUUCUAAAUUGUCUCUAUUUCCUAUCCAUUAUUUUUUAUUUGCCUAGAGGUACUUGAAAAUGCAUUCAGAAAAAAAAAAUUCUUACUCACC